rnacentral:rRNA from 1 species
GAUGAACGCUGGCGGCGUGCCUAAUACAUGCAAGUCGAGCGAACGGACGAGAAUCUUGCUUCUCUGAUGUUAGCGGCUGACGGGUGAGUAACACGUGGAUAACCUACCUAUAAGACUGGGAUAACUUCGGGAAACCGUAGCUAAUACCGGAUAAUAUUUUGAACCGCAUGGUUCAAAAGUGAAAUACGGUCUUGCUGUCACUUAUAGAUGGAUCCGCGCUGCAUUAGCUAGUUGGUAAGGUAACGGCUUACCAAGGCAACGAUGCAUAGCCGACCUGAGAGGGUGGUCGCCCACACUGGAAGUGAGACACGGUCCAGACUCCUACGGGAGGCAGCAGUAGGGAAUCUUACGCAAUGGGGGAAAGCCUGACGGAGCAACGCCGCGUGAGUGAUGAAGGUGUUAGGAUCGGAAAGCUCUGUUAUUAGUGAAGAACAUAUGUGUAAGUAACUGUGCACAUCUUGACGGUACCUAAUCAGAAAGCCACGGCUAACUACGUG